GUUGUGACUCACAUAUAAACAUUCCUUGGAAGAAAAUGAAUGAGUACUCAAUAUCUGUUAUUCUCAUAAUAACUGAC